rnacentral:sRNA from 1 species
CGGAUGAUAUCACCGCAAAGUUUCCCGC